GCUAGCGUGGCCUAGUGGUUGGAGCGCUAGACUAUAACUCUAAAGACCAGAGUUCGAACUGCAGCUCAGCC